rnacentral:rRNA from 1 species
GACGAACGCUGGCGGCGUGCCUAAUACAUGCAAGUUGAGCGCUGAAGGUUGGUACUUGUACCAACUGGAUGAGCAGCGAACGGGUGAGUAACGCGUGGGGAAUCUGCCUUUGAGCGGGGGACAACAUUUGGAAACGAAUGCUAAUACCGCAUAAAAACUUUAAACACAAGUUUUAAGUUUGAAAGAUGCAAUUGCAUCACUCAAAGAUGAUCCCGCGUUGUAUUAGCUAGUUGGUGAGGUAAAGGCUCACCAAGGCGAUGAUACAUAGCCGACCUGAGAGGGUGGUGGGCCACAUUGGGAGUGAGACACGGCCCAAACGCCUACGGGAGGCAGCAGGAGGGAAUCUUCGGCAAUGGACGAAAGUCUGACCGAGCAACGCCGCGUGAGUGAAGAAGGUUUUCGGAUCGUAAAACUCUGUUGGUAGAGAAGAACGUUGGUGAGAGUGGAAAGCUCAUCAAGUGACGGUAACUACCCAGAAAGGGACGGCUAACUACGUG